CCGAUGACACCACAAAACCCCAUUUGUGCACGAGAAGAGCGCAAUCUAUAGCCUGGAUAGUCUGCUCCUCGGCGCUCUCCCUCUCCUCCUUCAAUCCACUCAAGUCCGCCGAUGUUCUUCAACACAUCUGUUGGAAUACGCCUGGUGAAACCCGCGGGGCAUGAAACUGGGGCCGUGGCGGGCGCCCUCGUCGCCGUCGGAGACUCCCAUGCCGAGUUAGAGGAGGCCCUUGGCGGAGGCCUCAUGGAUGCGGCGCUCGGUGCUCUCGUACCACUCAUUGCCAUCGAUGAUGGCGUCGCCGGGCUCCAUGUAGGCCGAAAGGGCGGUGAUGGUUCCGC
rnacentral:lncRNA from 1 species